rnacentral:misc_RNA from 1 species
AAUCAAUCAAUCAAGGUACGUACUGAAGGCUACGUUGCAGCAACACACGAAUACUAGCUACGUUGCAGCAACGCACGAAUACUAUCUGCCAUUACAUCUAUGUUUGGAGGUCAAGUGACAGCGCCAAGCAAUAGUCCACAUUUGAGGAAGUCGGGUAGCCGACCUGUUGUCCUUGAUCUUGUUGGUGAGCAGGGAAAUGGUGCAGAGGAAGGUUUCUUGCAUUCGACGGAGUCCAAUGAUUUGAAGAGUAUGAUUACGCCUAUAAGCACUGCUGCAAUAAU